GCUGCUCCCCAAUUUCCAUGUUGAAAAGUUCUGCAAGACCAUACAAAAGGAAGCAGUUCAACUAUUAAUCUUUCCUAGACAGAAGAUUACACUAUAUCGUCAUACCUGAAUUCAGCAUACAAUCAGAUUUCUCAUCUUACAGUAACACUCAUCAAGCAGCUGCACAAAACUUGUAACCACUCCGGCUUUCUGCACAGCUCUUGCACCAACCUUGAAUCUCAAAGCACCGGUACCAGUCUUAAGGUGAGCUGUCCCUCAGCAACAACAACCCACCUACUAAGCUGCUGGUGCCACUGUUUGCUACAUGCUGUCACCUGCUGUUGUCUUCCCAUCUAGGCUAGCUGAAGAGAAUGGAAAAGCCAUGUUCACACAGUGAUGAUGUUAGAAGAUGUACUGCAGCAGCUUUUCUGGACAGCUUCCUUCAAGAAAGUAAGUUGAAAUGUUACUAGCAGCAAUGAACUCACCAGUUCUAAGAAAUUAAUCCUAGUGAUUCUUGCAAAGGUAUGACAAGUCAACAAGAAAAGUGCAACCAUAUUCCUUUACCUGUUAAAUUGGCUUCACCAAUUCUCUAUCUGCUGCAUAGGGAAGCCUCCGUAAUGGGAAGAAGAUGGUAAAGUACUAUCUGAAUAAUCAGAUCACACGUGAAUAAUCCAGUUGUGAAAGUUAGGAAAGUAAUGAUAAAGUCCAAAUUUUCAAAGCAUUUACUUGUUUUAAACAUUCCCCACUAUAAAACAAUGAAAAUUUUGUGAAAAGACUUGACAGAUGCUUGCUGUCCCAAUUUAAUCCAGAAAGAAGUACUAUUUUUCCUUAGCAAACACCAGUUCUGAGGGCUUCAAGAGAAAUGUAUUUCAUUUUGAAGUACAAAUUAAAAACCAAGUGAUUUUACAUUUAUAAAAAUGAGGAACUCAUAAAAAAAAUGAACAGAUGGAAAGGGCUACAAAUUAUUAAUAGAUGUAGAAUAAAAGCUUGAAUAAUUGAAAAUGUCAACUUCAGAUGUAUGACAGGCCACUGCUAAGUAGCUGAAAACCAUUAUCUCUUGAUUCUUGAACAAUUAUUUUUCGGUUUUCUCCACACCACCCUAGGUAACUGAGUCAGUAUAUGCUCUGAAGGGCAGUAAAAUUAAGCAGAAAAUAAAACAGAAAACCUGGUCAACACCACAGCACACCUUCCAAGAUGACUAUUUUAGAUCCAAUAUCCAGACAUUACUAUUCAUUAACUGUGAAAGAAUUACAUAGGACUCAUAUGCAGUAUUUUGAAGUCUGCCUCUUUUAAUGAUUCCACAGAGAACAUUAUCUUUUACCUUGAAGGGGACAGUGACAGAAGAAAGUAAAAGCAAUUCUGAUCAAAGGGUUCUAUAUCUUCAUUCUCUGAAGCCUGUUACCACCUAAAAAUACCGUUUGACUUGCCAAAUCUUUUUUUUUUUUUUUAACCUCUGAUUUAUCAAGGACUUUCUCCAAAAUCAGUACAAGCUUUGAGCUAUCAAUUUUAUUUUCUGAAGUGCUGUCACUAUUGUAAACGCAGUCUGAUCAAAAGAACUUCUCUCUCCUCAUCUGACUUCCUCCAAAUGAAGCAGCUGCUUUCAAACAAAUGAAAAACAUGAAAAAUUCUGACAGAUACAAGCAGUUGAAACCAGUAGGUUGGAAAGGAAACACAUGGAAGAAUCCCUAUGCCUACCAUGCUUCAUAGAGUACAGGUUUUGGUUUAUUCUUAUCACUGUACUAAUUAUGUAACACAUUAUUCUUAGCCAAGCCUUAGCUUGAGUUCCUUGCCUCCCCUGCACAUGAGAGAAACAGACUGAAAUAGUAGGUCUGAACAGGUAAGUGCUCCUGUUACUUCUCCCUCUUCAGACAAAGCAGGAGGCUCUCCCAACAUAUCCCAUGCUUCACAGCAUUCAGCUGAAAGCUCAGCCCAGUUUUUCAGCCCGUGGCUAGAACCUGAGCACAAGGAAGCCCAGCACCAAGCACCACCAUCUAUUUAAUUGAAGAGCCUGCUUUUCUGUUUCUGCUGCUUUGAUUUUUAUUAUCUGAAAGCUCUUCCUCUAAAUGGUAGAGAGGAAUACCA